rnacentral:rRNA from 1 species
UACAGAGGUCUCAAGCGUUGUUCGGAUUCAUUGGGCGUAAAGGGUGCGUAGGUGGCGCCGUAAGUCGGGUGUGAAAUUUCGGAGCUUAACUCCGAAACUGCAUUCGAUACUGCGGUGCUUGAGGACUGGAGAGGAGACUGGAAUUCUCGGUGUAGCAGUGAAAUGCGUAGAUAUCGAGAGGAACACCCGUAGCGAAGGCGGCACUCUGGGCCGGUACUGACGCUGAGGAGCGAAAGCGUGGGGAGCAAACAGG